AUUGAACGCUGGCGGCAUGCCUUACACAUGCCAGUCGAACGGCAGCAUGAUCUCGCUUGCUAGAUUGAUGGCGAGUGGCGAACGGGUGAGUAAUACAUCGGAACGUGCCCUGUAGUGGGGGAUAACUAGUCGAAAGAUUAGCUAAUACCGCAUACGACCUGAGGGUGAAAGUGGGGGACCGCAAGGCCUCAUGCUAUAGGAGCGGCCGAUGUCUGAUUAGCUAGUUGGUGAGGUAAAGGCUCACCAAGGCGACGAUCAGUAGCUGGUCUGAGAGGACGAUCAGCCACACUGGGACUGAGACACGGCCCAGACUCCUACGGGAGGCAGCAGUGGGGAAUUUUGGACAAUGGGCGAAAGCCUGAUCCAGCAAUGCCGCGUGUGUGAAGAAGGCCUUCGGGUUGUAAAGCACUUUUGUCCGGAAAGAAAUGGCUCUGGUUAAUACCUGGGGUCGAUGACGGUACCGGAAGAAUAAGGACCGGCUAACUACGUG
rnacentral:rRNA from 1 species